GAAAUAGCCAAGCGGUAAGGCAUCAGACUUUGACUCUGACAUGCGAAGGUUCGAGUCCUUCUUUC
rnacentral:tRNA from 1 species